UUUAGCCCUAGGGACUUAUGUUUCUGAGAGAGGGGCUAGCCCCUCUCCCAGGGACUUAUGUUUUUGAGAGAGGGGCUAAACUUUAGCCCCUCUCUCCCAAACACCCCCUUAGCACUGAGGAACAUCAGUCUUUUUUUUAAGGAUUUCAUCUGGCGUCAAAUCCUACUCUAUCAAUGCAAACUAAGAUUAUUAUUACCCAUGUGAAGGUUCUUUAGGCCAUUCACAGUGCAAGCUGUGGGCCUGUACCCCUAGCCUCAAAAGUUAUCUCAAAAACACCCAUCUCACAUAAUAAGCACCUUUAGUUGUGUGGUUUAAUUGGAUGAAUAUAGUAUAGGAGGUAACCGACAUCACAGUGGGCGUGAUCUCGGGCUCGCGGAUACGGGUAGUGGGGGAAAUAAUUUCCCCACCUACCCUCGACUCGUCUUCUCCUCACUCUCCCCUCCAUCGCUUUCUCCUCCUCCCGGUCGCCAUUCCCGUUGCCUCCUCCCCGUCCGGCGGCGCCGGCUCCGCUCCUCCUCCUCGUCCGGCGUCGGCUCCACUCCUCGCUGCGCCGCACCGCUUCUCCUCGCCUCGCCGCGCCUCCACUCGCCUCGCGUCUCGUGCGGCGGCGCGGACCCCUUGAUUCGGCCACCACCACCGGCCUCGCCGCCACCCGCCAUGGAGAUGGACAAUAGGCGGGUGCGUGGACUCGGGAGCGGCGGGGGCGGCGGGAGUGGACAGCCUGUUUUGGUGUGGUUCUUGCUUUCUCUCUGUUUGUUUUGCUUUUGGUGUGGUUCUUGUUUCCCCAAUCGAGAGCCUCACCCCCUCAAGAAGCUCACGGAGGGAAGGAGGAGGAGGAGCAAAAGCAAGCCAUGGAGGAGCCGGCGGCGGUCGGGAGGGCGCGGCCGAGGAGGUAGGAGGCGGCGCAGAGCGCCACGACGGCGGCCAUGGCAGGGAGCGGGAUGAUUUUUUUUUAUCUGUGAUGAUUUUUCUUCUUUUUCUUUUUCAUCUUGUUGAAUCCGAUCUGUGAUAAUUGUUGAAUUCGAUCUGUGAUGACUUCAAUUU